CAAUAGCGUAUAUUAAAGUUGUUGCAGUUAAAAAGCUCGUAGUUGGAUUUGUGGCGUACGGUGUGUUCCGGGCACUUGUUGUCUGAGUAACCUGCUGUUGCCAUCCUUGGGUGGAACCUGUGUGGCAUUAGGUUGUCGUGCAGGGGAUGCCCAUCAUUUACUGUGAAAAAAUUAGAGUGUUCAAAGCAGGCUUAUGCCGUUGAAUAUAUUAGCAUGGAAUAAUGAGAUAGGACUUUUUUGCUAUUUUGUUGGUUUGCGCAAAGAGGUAAUGAUUAAUAGGGACAGUUGAGGGUAUUCGUAUUCCGUUGUCAGAGGUGAAAUUCUUGGAUUUUUGGAAGACGAACUACUGCGAAAGCAUUUACCAAGGAUGUUUUCAUUAA
rnacentral:rRNA from 1 species